rnacentral:rRNA from 1 species
AAUGUAGAGCGAAUCUCAAAAAAGACAUUCUCAGUUCGGAUUGUGGGCUGCAACCCGCCCACAUGAAGUCGGAGUUGCUAGUAAUCCCGAAUCAGAAUGUCGGGGUGAAUGCGUUCCCGGGUCUUGUACACACCGCCCGUCACGCCAUGGGAGUCGGGGGUACCCGAAGUCGGUGAGCUAACCGCAAAGGAGGCAGCCGCCUAAGGUAAAACCGAUGACUGGGGUGAAGUCGUAACAAGGUAAC